GGUGGUUCAGUGGUAGAAUACUUGCCUUGCAUGCAUGAGGCCCUGGGUUCAAUUCCUCAGCACCA
rnacentral:tRNA from 1 species